UACGUAGGGGGCGAGCGUUGUCCGGAUUUACUGGGCGUAAAGAGCGCGUAGGCGGUCAGGUAGGUUGAUUGUGAAAGGUGCGAACUUAACCCGCAACGGUCAACCAAAACCACCCGACUUCGAGGGCAGUAGAGGAAGGUGGAAUUCCGGGUGUAGUGGUGAAAUGCGUAGAGAUCCGGAGGAACACCGGCGGCGAAGGCGGCCUUCUGGACUGGCCCUGACGCUGAGGCGCGAAAGCGUGGGGAGCGAACUGA
rnacentral:rRNA from 1 species